CGAUUUAAGUUUGUAAGACGAGUGAAAUUCUUUCCGCAUGACUGGCAUGAAAAAGGUUUCUCACCUGUAUGAAUUUUCUUGUGACUAUUUAGAUGACUAUGUUGAGAGAAAUUCUUUCCGCAUGACUGGCAUGAAAAAGGCCUCUCACCUGUAUGAAUUUUCUUGUGACGAUAAAAAUUACUAAUAUGAGAAAAAUCUUUUCCACAUGAUUGGCAUGAAAAAGGUCUCUCACCUGUAUGAAUUUUCUUGUGACGAAUUACAUUUCUCAUAUUAGAGAAACUUUUUCCACAUGUUUCACAUGAAAAAGGCCUAUCACCUGUAUGAAUUUUCUUGUGAAGCCUUAAAUGAC